rnacentral:rRNA from 1 species
CAGCCGCCACGGGAAUACGAAGGGUGCAAGCGUUAAUCGGAAUUACUGGGCGUAAAGCGUGCGUAGGCGGUUUGUUAAGUCUGCUGUGAAAUCCCCGGGCUCAACCUGGGAAUGGCAGUGGAUACUGGCAAGCUAGAGUGUGUCAGAGGAUGGUGGAAUUCCCGGUGUAGCGGUGAAAUGCGUAGAGAUCGGGAGGAACAUCAGUGGCGAAGGCGGCCAUCUGGGACAACACUGACGCUGAGGCACGAAAGCUAGGGGAGCAAACAGGAUUAGAUACCCCCGUAGUCCCUGUCUCUUAUAC